rnacentral:rRNA from 1 species
CCUAUGGGUGGCAGCAGUGGGGAAUAUUGGACAAUGGGCGAAAGCCUGAUCCAGCCAUGCCGCGUGUGUGAAGAAGGCCUUCGGGUUGUAAAGCACUUUCAGUGGGGAAGAAAGCCUUGGGGCUAAUACCCUCGAGGAAGGACAUCACCCACAGAAGAAGCACCGGCUAACUCCGUGCCAGCAGCCGCGGUAAUACGGAGGGUGCGAGCGUUAAUCGGAAUUACUGGGCGUAAAGCGCGCGUAGGCGGUCUGAUAAGCCGGUUGUGAAAGCCCCGGGCUCAACCUGGGAACGGCAUCCGGAACUGUCAGGCUAGAGUGCAGGAGAGGAAGGUAGAAUUCCCGGUGUAGCGGUGAAAUGCGUAGAGAUCGGGAGGAAUACCAGUGGCGAAGGCGGCCUUCUGGACUGACACUGACGCUGAGGUGCGAAAGCGUGGGUAGCAAACAGGACUAGAUACCCGAGUAGUC